UAACGUAAAAACAUUGCCAACUUCAUAUACAUUUAGUACAAAAUACAACAGUGCAUUCUUACACUUACACACACAUACAUAAACAUUAUAGUGACAUUUUACCACGAAGAAGCAGACACAUGUAAGUAAACAUCUAAUUUAUUUUUAUUUAUUAUUUAAUUCUUAUUUGCAUUUAUUUACAGAGAAUUUGGAAUAUAGCGAAACAUUCAGAGAACAAUUAAGGCAACACUGAAACAAAUGCAAAUUACACAUGAAAACAGGACAACAGAUAAAAAUAUUAAACAACAGAAGAUAAAUACAUUAAAUAGAAUCAACAUUAUUGAAUAAAAGAAAAAACAUGUACAUAACAAAAAUAAAAUCAUUUACACAAGA